ACGAACGCUGGCGGCAGGCUUAACACAUGCAAGUCGAACGGCUCUUCGGAGCAGUGGCGGACGGGUGAGUAACGCGUGGGAAUGUGCCCUUAGGUACGGAACAACACAGGGAAACUUGUGCUAAUACCGUAUGUGCCCUUCGGGGGAAAGAUUUAUUGCCUUUGGAGCAGCCCGCGUUGGAUUAGCUAGUUGGUGAGGUAAAGGCUCGCCAAGGCUACGAUCCAUAGCUGGUCUGAGAGGAUGAUCAGCCACACUGGGACUGAGACACGGCCCAGACUCCUACGGGAGGCAGCAGUAGGGAAUCUUGCGCAAUGGGCGAAAGCCUGACGCAGCCAUGCCGCGUGAAUGAUGAAGGUCUUAGGAUUGUAAAAUUCUUUCACCGGGGAAGAUAAUGACGGUACCCGGAGAAGAAGCCCCGGCUAACUUCGUGCCAGCCGCCGCAGUAAAAC
rnacentral:rRNA from 1 species